rnacentral:rRNA from 1 species
UACGGAGGGAGCUAGCGUUGUUCGGAAUUACUGGGCGUAAAGCGCACGUAGGCGGCUUUGUAAGUUAGAGGUGAAAGCCCGGGGCUCAACCCCGGAAUUGCCUUUAAGACUGCAUCGCUUGAAUCCAGGAGAGGUGAGUGGAAUUCCGAGUGUAGAGGUGAAAUGCGUAGAGAUCCGGAAGAACACCGGAGGCGAAGGCGGCUUGCUGGGCGUGAUCUGACGCUGAGGCGCGAAAGCGUGGGGAGCGAACAGG